rnacentral:lncRNA from 1 species
AUGAUCAUAAGAUAGUAUCCAGAAGUAAAUUUUGUAAAAAAAUAAAUCAUUUUUACUUUUAAAUGGACUUAGAUUUUCUUUCAGUUAACCUUACAUACGUGUAUUAAAAGUCUACAGUUAAAGUUUUUAAAUCAUUUAUUAGAUUCAUAAACUAUGCUGGAUUAUUACCAAACUUGGACAGUAGCUUCUUACAAUCAAAAGAUUGUAUCAGAAGGAAUAUUUUUAUUGAUCUUUUUCCUCAUUUUUGUUGCGCCUGCGAUUUUACAUCAACAGUAGGCGAGACACUGGGUUCCGCGGAACCCUUAGAAAUUUUUGAUAAUACAAAAUUUCGUAAACAGAUAAUUUGCACACGUGAUAUGUCAUACCUACUGCGCUGGUUAUACCCGUUAGAACGUAACAACCGCCAACAGUGGCAUCAACCCGUUGAUUGUAAAAACUCGUAAAGUAUACUUAAUUUGUUAUGCUGGUGGGUAAAUCAGCUGUGUUUAGAAAUCAAUUAAAUUUAAACUUAUCAUCAUUUGUAAAGUUAAAUAAUACCAUUUACAUGUCGGACAGAGAUCAACUGAUAAACUGCUAGAUUGAAAUUGUUUGCAAAUACAUGGCUAUUAUAAUUUCUUUCUUUCCGUGAUGUGUAUACAAGUAUCCAUCUGUAUUUGUAAUUCCCCAUUUACAAAGGUAGCAUUUCUGUAAAUAUAAACAGAGUGUGAUUUCUCAGCUUCUUUUACAGCUUCAACUGUACCAUUUUUACACUGAAGUUUCGUACAAAUUUGAAUCCAAGAAUGGAAAGUUCAUUAGCACUUUUAUUUUUUUGAAAGGUCAAAACGUAAGUCUGUGCAGCAUAUUUUCAAUAUACCUUAAACUUAUGAGAUUUUAAACUGAUACACAAAUUAUGUACUUUCUCACCCUUAACGUUUGGUCAUACUCAGAAUUUAGUUUGACUGCUACUCAUGUGUAUGUAUACUAGUUAAAUUCCCAAGGUGUGUAUCUUUGAGAUGAACUAUAGAGAUCAUACCAGUAAAUAAAGCUGUUCAAUAAUACCUUAAUAGUUAAUUUAGUUCUAGAUUUAAGUCUAAUGGGUACUAAAGUAUGCACAUAUGAAAUAACUAAAUCAGAGACUGAAUCUUGUCUUUCAUGCAUUUCUCAUGGGGUGUCCGAGUGAUCAUAUAAUCACAAUUUUUUUAACAAUAUAAUCACAGAAUCAUUAAUUAUUUUUCUAAACAAUAUAAUCAAAUAAUCAAAAAUACAGUUCUAGAUUAUCAAAUAAUUAAAUAAUCAUAAAAUAUUUGGUCUGGUAACCAAAUAACCAAAUAACCACUAUAAAAACAGCUGAAUAAAUAAAUACUCAAUAACCCAACGAGGAGGCGUUUUGUCGGAUAUGAUUUUGCAACAAUAAUAAUAGUUUGAUUUCAUGCUUGAUAUUUUUUUCCUUGCACUCAAUCACCCCAAAUGUGUACUAUAAAAUCUUAUGCCAGAUUUGUCAUCAAUUUGUCAGCCUUUUUCAAUGCUUAUACAUUUUGCCUUCAAACAGUUAGCUAUAAAUUAAUACAACUGUUUUAAAUAUAUAGAAACUUUGUUAUUUACAAAUUUAAUAUGAUAUGAUACAGUUGUGUUUUUGUUGUUGAUGUGAUUAUUGUAGCACUUUAUGUGUGUAAGAACUAUCUUAUAUUUGUAUAUAUGUAUAAUCUGUUUGUGCAUUCUACUACCCUUAAAGGUAAAAUCAAA